rnacentral:rRNA from 1 species
CCAGUCAAGGUCCCCAAAUAUAUGUUAAGUGGAAAAGGAUGUGGGGUUGCUUAGACAACCAGGAUGUUGGCUUAGAAGCAGCCACCAUUGAAAGAGUGCGUAAUAGCUCACUGGUCGAGUGACCCCGCGCCGAAAAUGUACCGGGGCUAAACAUAUUACCGAAACUGUGGAUGAACCUCUUUAGAGGUUCGUGGUAGGAGAGCGUUCUAAGGGCGGUGAAGUCAGACCGGAAGGACUGGUGGAGCGCUUAGAAGUGAGAAUGCCGGUAUGAGUAGCGAAAGAAGGGUGAGAAUCCCUUCCACCGAAUAUCUAAGGUUUCCUGAGGAAGGCUCGUCCGCUCAGGGUUAGUCGGGACCUAAGCCGAGGCCGAUAGGCGUAGGCGAUGGACAACAGGUAGAGAUUCCUGUACCAGUGCUAAUUGUUUAACCGAUGGGGUGACACAGAAGGAUAGGGAAUCGCACGAAUGGAAAUGUGCGUCCAAGCAGUGAGUGUGAGAAGUAGGCAAAUCCGCUUCUCGCGAAGCAUGAGCUGUGAUGGGGAAGGAAAUUAAGUACGGAAGUUCCUGAUUUCACGCUGUCAAGAAAAGCCUCUAGGAAGAGUAGUACUGCCCGUACCGCAAACCGACACAGGUAGAUGAGGAGAGAAUCCUAAGGUGAGCGAGA